GCCCCUGUAGCUCAGCGGAUAGAGCGCUGGCCUCCGGAGCCAGGCGCGGGCGUUCGAGUCGCCCCAGGGGCGCCA
rnacentral:tRNA from 1 species